GAAGAAAGAAACAGGAAGAAGUAAAAGUCAAAAAUAUAUUCAACAACAUUCAAAACAGGAGAUGAACAAUUAAGAUAGAAAGCAAGUAAUACAAAAAAAUAUAUUCAAAACAUUAAUAAUCCAUGUUAUCAGGGCAUUUGACAAUCGGAAUACACAAUGUCAUUCAAGUAUACGUGUCACUUAAAGGUGUCGAAUUCUGACACAUUUGCCUGUUAUGUCCAGAACCCCCACAUCGGCCGCAUUUUCGAGUCAAAGUCGACCUUUCAAUUCUUGACCAUAGAAGUUGGGUAGGAGGUUGACCUGGUGCUCUACGUAUAUUCGGGGGCAAAACUUCGACGGAAUGAAUAGACUGAGGAACAACCCAAUCUGACUCUCGGCCAACGGGGUGAAGAACUUCGUUGUACGCAACUCGUCAAUAUUCUGUGGUAUAGUAAGGGGAGCACAAAUCAUACAAUAAUUUUUCUUUUGCUCAAGCAGCUCGGGAUGCAUGUGAACAUGGGAUUUGUGGCAUCUAAAACUCUCAACAUGAACAUGUGUUACUUAUAAGGUCGACAGUACAAAGUUCGGUAGUUACACCUACCUCAAAAACGAGUUCGCCCAAAUUUUGUACUGGUAAAGUUGCACCGACGUCGAAUGAUUUUAUCAAUUCAUCAUCAAUUUUUGGUGUCACAGUCGUACUACAUUUCGUAGAUGCGCUUUUUCUCUCGUAGAACCAUCGUUGCAUCAAUGACGUAAUAUUUUCGACCAACGAAGUUAUAGGGAAACUUCGUUGUUGCCUUAGGACUGAAUUCAGUGACUCUGCAAUGUUAUUCGUCAUAACGUUGUACUAAUUACCAACAAAAUUUGCCCGUGACCAGGUGGAUAUACCGGCACGUUCCAAGUAAGAUGUCAUUGACGGUCGAAUGAUUCUUAUUUGUCUCAUGAACUGAUCAAAUUCCGAUACGCGGUAUACUAGCGCUGCCCGCUUGAACAAGAAUAUGACAUUGCUACUGCUAUACCUAGCAAUAAGAUUUUUCUCGAUAUGCCAGAUGUAGGCACCGUGGUGAAAAAGCGGGAACAACCUCCUAAUUGCCUGCUUAAUACUCUUCUUCCUAUCCAACACAAACACUAGCUGGUUUGAAUCAUCAACAUCUUUCAACUUCACAAAGAACCAAUACCAUGAUGCAUUUGUUUCCCUAUCGACAACACUCCAAGCAAGAGGAUAUAUUUGUAGAUUAGCAUCUUGCUCUGCAGCUACUAAUAGUAUUCCCUUAUAUUGGUCCUUCAAAUGACUUUCAUCAACACAAAUUACUGACCUCAUGUACUCUCGAAAAUCACAUACACUAGGCCCGAACGCUAAGAAGAAGUACAAAAACCUAUUAUUCGAGUCGAGUUCAAUAUGUGCAAUAGUUCCUGAAUUUUUCUCGGUUAACAUGUGACAGUAUGAUGGCAAUUUCUGAAAACUUUCUUCGGGUGUACCACGAAGAAAUCAAAGUCCCUUCUCUUUAGCCCUCCCUUUGUUGUAGGUAAUCCGUACACCAAACUCACGUUUCAUAUCCCCAAUAAUACCUGCAGGAAUAUAUGAUUGGUUUGCAUCAUCCAACUUUCGCAUUAUGUGAUGCCCAAUUACUCCAUUCGUUGCAUAAAUUUGUGCAUUUCGUAGAACGUCUCGAGAACAUGUGUGCUCAGGUAUGUACUCUCGAAUCUUAAAUAUUUCUGAAAUUUUUAUCUUAGAAGCUCGCACUAGCUAAUGGCAUGUAGUAUCAACACAACACACAUUAAGAGAUCUAGGGUUCGACUUUUUAAUCUUGAAAUGAAACUUCUCUUUCAAAGUCUUAAGUUGAAGCCUUGUGUGUAACCGUUGCUUACUAAAGAAUAUCUUAUUCUUCACAAUGUCCUCUUUACCAAUCGGCUCAAUUGCAUUUCGAAUAAACAAAUUCUCUUCACCUAAACCUUCAUCCGUAUUAUCAAUCGUUCGUAGCUCUUGUAGUUCGCACAUACCGACUUCGUCGCGUCCACACAAUGCAUCUUCUAUUGGUGACAAAGGCUCAACUCCGACAUGCAGUUCGUGCUCUCCAACAUUAUGUUCAUCUGCAAUUACACACAAUGCCGCUUCUGUGUGAAUAGACAUAAACCAUUGCAAAUCCUCAUCGUCGACUACAGCAGGGGGUAUAUUCAUGUUCGGAACUGUAAAUUUUAAUUGAAUUCGAAACUUCAUUCUGUCAACAUUCAGCUUCUCGAAUAAUUUAUGUACAAGCUCUUCGUAUGUAACAUCAUGUCGAACAACAAUUGAUGUUGUUCGGUUCCUUAACCACUUCCACCAAUCGUCCAUGUUGAUGAAUCUACUACCAUACGAGACAACAAAUCUCUUAACAUCUCCAAUAUCUGCAUUUCAUAAACAACAAUACUGUCACUAAUGAAAACCAAAAACGAAAAUGCUACCUGCAUGCAAUAUGUGAAACGCUAUACACGAAAUUUUU
rnacentral:lncRNA from 1 species